UACGGGGGGGGGCAAGCGUUGUUCGGAAUUACUGGGCGUAAAGGGCUCGUAGGUGGCCAACUAAGUCAGACGUGAAAUCCCUCGGCUUAACCGGGGAACUGCGUCUGAUACUGGAUGGCUUGAGUUCGGGGAGAGGGAUGCGGAAUUCCAGGUGUAGCGGUGAAAUGCGUAGAUAUCUGGAGGAACACCGGUGGCGAAGGCGGCAUCCUGGACCGACACUGACACUGAGGAGCGAAAGCCAGGGGAGCAAACGGG
rnacentral:rRNA from 1 species